ensembl:lncRNA
AAUCAAGCUCUGAACCUGGGUCAGACCCUCACAAACAGCUAACAUGAAUGUAAUUGCACAGUUUAGGUUGUCACCCAACACAUUUGUCAAUCUUGUCAUCUGACUUGUUUUAUGGGAGAGAAUUCUUCAUUUAAUGCAUGGACUUCCCACUGGAUUGACCUUGACCCUUGUCCCUGUCUAGAUUAAACGCACCUGCCACCGAAAAUAAGCCUCAAGGGAAUGGACAUCCACACCAUUGAUUCCACCAUAAGAGAUACACUAAAUCUUCACUGUCUGUCAAAGUAAGAAAAAUCUUUAUUCAAAACAAUAAAUUAGGAAAGAAAUAAAUCUUGAUUGGUAUG